rnacentral:rRNA from 1 species
UACGCACGCUGGCGGCGUGCUUAACACAUGCAAGUCGAACGGAAAGGCCCUGCUUUUGUGGGGUGCUCGAGUGGCGAACGGGUGAGUAACACGUGAGUAACCUGCCCUUGACUUUGGGAUAACUUCAGGAAACUGGGGCUAAUACCGGAUAGGAGCUCCUGCUGCAUGGUGGGGGUUGGAAAGUUUCGGCGGUUGGGGAUGGACUCGCGGCUUAUCAGCUUGUUGGUGGGGUAGUGGCUUACCAAGGCUUUGACGGGUAGCCGGCCUGAGAGGGUGACCGGCCACAUUGGGACUGAGAUACGGCCCAGCCUCCUACGGGAGGCAGCAGUGGGGAAUAUUGCACAAUGGGCGGAAGCCUGAUGCAGCAACGCCGCGUGCGGGAUGACGGCCUUCGGGUUGUAAACCGCUUUCGCCUGUGACGAAGCGUGAGUGACGGUAAUGGGUAAAGAAGCACCGGCUAACUACGUG